rnacentral:tRNA from 1 species
AAAAAGGAUAUAAUUGAAGCUGCUAACUUUAAUUAGGGGGAAAUAAUUCCUCCCCUUUUUU